AUCAUUCCAGAUCUCUCUCCAAUACUUCCAGAUUAUGAUUAACAAUUGCUAUUUGCUUAGGAGAGAGAUCUAAGAGCCAAAAAAGAACAAUGAAAAAACUUCCUUGCAUCUCUUCAUCAUAUCUCUUCUUCCCGACUUCUCCUAAAGCUUGGGUUACGAGCUAAAUUAACUAUACAGUUCGAGAUUUGAGGAAGAUGACCUAAAAACUUCCUCUCUUUUUCAAAUCAGAAACAUUGGUUGUUGCUAAAACAGAAUAGUCUUCAGUUUGGGGAAUCUCAGUAGCUCCCAUCCAAGGUUCAAUUCUCCACCCACAUUGUAAUUUAAUCCCCAUUUUUCCUACCCCGAUUUUAUAAAAAAGAAAAAAAGAAGAAGAAUAGCCUUCAAUUCUCCUUAUUCACUUUCAAUAAUAUUUUAGCAGAGAAGCGUAUGCAUUCGAUACAGUUCUUUUACUAUUUUCAGCUUUCUUAACAGUUGCUUUUUGAUCUCUUUGUAGGUGCUGACGUUUCAACAAACACUUAGAGCUUGUAAUCUUUAUGAUUGUGAACUUGAAGGUAUAUAUGAUUAAAUCCAGGUAUAUACUGUCAUAUUUUCUG
rnacentral:lncRNA from 1 species